AGAGUUUGAUCCUGGCUCAGGAUGAACGCUAGCGGCAGGCCUAACACAUGCAAGUCGAACGGUAACAGGAAUUAGCUUGCUAAUUUGCUGACGACCGGCGCACGGGUGAGUAACGCGUAUACAAUUUACCUUUUACAGGGAGAUAGCCCAGAGAAAUUUGGAUUAAUAUCCUAUGGUAUUAUUAAUUGGCAUCAAUAAAUAAUUAAAGCUUCGGCGGUAAAAGAUGAGUAUGCGUCCUAUUAGCUAGUAGGUGUGGUAACGGCACACCAUGGCAACGAUAGAUAGGGGCCCUGAGAGGGGGAUCCCCCACACUGGUACUGAGACACGGACCAGACUCCUACGGGAGGCAGCAGUGAGGAAUAUUGGACAAUGGGCGCAAGCCUGAUCCAGCCAUGCCGCGUGCAGGAAGACGGCCCUAUGGGUUGUAAACUGCUUUUAUACAGGAAGAAACAGCUCUACGUGUAGAGCCUUGACGGUACUGUAAGAAUAAGGAUCGGCUAACUCCGUGCCAGCAGCCGCGGUAAUACGGAGGAUCCAAGCGUUAUCCGGAAUCAUUGGGUUUAAAGGGUCCGUAGGUGGAUAAUUAAGUCAGAGGUGAAAUCCUGCAGCUCAACUGUAGAAUUGCCUUUGAUACUGGUUAUCUUGAGUUAUUAUGAAGUAGUUAGAAUAUGUAGUGUAGCGGUGAAAUGCAUAGAUAUUACAUAGAAUACCAAUUGCGAAGGCAGAUUACUAAUAAUAUGCUGACACUGAUGGACGAAAGCGUGGGUAGCGAACAGGAUUAGAUCCCCUGGUAGUCCACGCCGUAAACGAUUGUCACUAGCUGUUCGGAACUUGUUUCUGAGUGGCUAAGCGAAAGUGAUAAGUGACCCACCUGGGGAGUACGUUCGCAAGAAUGAAACUCAAAGGAAUUGACGGGGGCCCGCACAAGCGGUGGAGCAUGUGGUUUAAUUCGAUGAUACGCGAGGAACCUUACCAGGGCUUAAAUGUAAGUUGCAUAAGCUAGAGAUAGCUUUUUCUUCGGACUACUUACAAGGUGCUGCAUGGUUGUCGUCAGCUCGUGCCGUGAGGUGUCAGGUUAAGUCCUAUAACGAGCGCAACCCCUGUUGUUAGUUGCCAUCGAGUAAUGUCGGGAACUCUAACAAGACUGCCGGUGCAAACCGUGAGGAAGGUGGGGAUGACGUCAAAUCAUCACGGCCCUUACGUCCUGGGCUACACACGUGCUACAAUGGCCGGUACAAUGAGCAGCCACCCCGCGAGUAGGAGCGAAUCUAUAAAACCGGUCUCAGUUCGGAUCGGAGUCUGCAACUCGACUCCGUGAAGCUGGAAUCGCUAGUAAUCGGAUAUCAGCCAUGAUCCGGUGAAUACGUUCCCGGGCCUUUUACACACCGCCCGUCAAGCCAUGGAAGCUGGGGGUACCUGAAGUCGGUGACCGUAAGGAGCUGCCUAGGGUAAAACUAGUAACUGGGGCUAAGUCGAAACAAGGUAACC
rnacentral:rRNA from 1 species